rnacentral:rRNA from 1 species
UAUUUUAAAGAGAGUUUGAUCCUGGCUCAGGACGAACGCUGGCGGCGUGCCUAAUACAUGCAAGUCGAACGAACGGAGGAAGAGCUUGCUCUUCCAAAGUUAGUGGCGGACGGGUGAGUAACACGUGGGCAACCUGACCGUAAGUUGGGGAUAACGCCGGGAAACCGGGGCUGUAUACCGAAUGAUAGAAUGGGGCGCAUG